rnacentral:rRNA from 1 species
UGCGUAGGCGGAAUAUUAAGUCAGUGGUGAAAUCCUGCGGCUCAACCGUAGAACUGCCAUUGAUACUGAUAUUCUUGAAUGUAGUUGAGGUAGGCGGAAUGUGUAAUGUAGCGGUGAUAUGCUUAGAUAUUACACAGAACACCGAUUGCGAAGGCAGCUUACUAAACUAUGAUUGACGCUGAGGCACGAAAGCGUGGGGAGCGAACAGGAUUAGAUACCCUGGUAGUCC